rnacentral:rRNA from 1 species
AUUAGUUAAUCUUUAAACCCAUAGAAUUUGGCGGUAUUUUAUUCUAUUCAGAGGAACCUAUUCCGUAAUUGAUAAUACACGAUUAACUCUACUUAAUUUAUUAUUUGUUUGUAUAUCUCCGUUAUCAGAAGAUCUUUUUAGGGUUAAAAUUUUCUUAAUUUAUAAUUGUAGAUUAUUUCAGGUCAAGGUGCAGCUUAUUUAAGGUGAGAAUGGGUUACAUUAUAUAUAUAUAUAUAAGUGGAUUUUAUAUGAGAAAAAUAUUAAGAGAGGGUGGAUGAGAUAGUAAUUUAAUUAUAAUUUAUUAUAUUAUGAGAUAAUGUAGUCUCUAAAUGGUGGUGCUACACUA